GCAAAUGCGUUGGGGGCGGCAAAAGUGUUGGGGGCGCCCCCUGGUGGCGGCCUUAAUAAAUUAAUCAAUUUUAAUGAAACAAGCGUGUUUUCUAAACACGUUUCGAAAUGGAAGGGAGAAUGGGGGAUGAAAAGUUAUUGAAUCGUAACAGACCAGCAGCAGUAACAUACCAACUGACGGAUUCCCAAAAAAA